AUUGAACGCUGGCGGCAUGCCUUACACAUGCAAGUCGAACGGUAACAGGUCUUCGGAUGCUGACGAGUGGCGAACGGGUGAGUAAUACAUCGGAACGUGCCCGAUCGUGGGGGAUAACGGAGCUAAAGCUUUGCUAAUACCGCAUACGAUCUACGGAUGAAAGCAGGGGACCGCAAGGCCUUGCGCGGACGGAGCGGCCGAUGGCAGAUUAGGUAGUUGGUGGGAUAAAAGCUUACCAAGCCGACGAUCUGUAGCUGGUCUGAGAGGACGACCAGCCACACUGGGACUGGGACACGGCCCAGACUCCUACGGGAGGCAGCAGUGGGGAAUUUUGGACAAAGGGCGAAAGCCUGAUCCAGCCAUGCCGCGUGCAGGAUGAAGGCCUUCGGGUUGUAAACUGCUUUUGUACGGAACGAAAAGACUCUUUCUAAUAAAGAGGGUCCAUGACGGUACCGUAAGAAUAAGCACCGGCUAACUACGUG
rnacentral:rRNA from 1 species